AUUGAACGCUGGCGGCAGGCCUAACACAUGCAAGUCGAGCGGAUGAAGGGAGCUUGCUCCUGGAUUCAGCGGCGGACGGGUGAGUAAUGCCUAGGAAUCUGCCUGGUAGUGGGGGAUAACGUCCGGUAACGGGCGCUAAUACCGCAUACGUCCUGAGGGAGAAAGUGGGGGAUCUUCGGACCUCACGCUAUCAGAUGAGCCUAGGUCGGAUUAGCUAGUUGGUGGGGUAAAGGCCUACCAAGGCGACGAUCCGUAACUGGUCUGAGAGGAUGAUCAGUCACACUGGAACUGAGACACGGUCCAGACUCCUACGGGAGGCAGCAGUGGGGAAUAUUGGACAAUGGGCGAAAGCCUGAUGCAGCCAUGCCGCGUGUGUGAAGAAGGUCUUCGGAUUGUAAAGCACUUUAAGUUGGGAGGAAGGGCAGUAAGUUAAUACCUUGCUGUUUUGACGUUACCAACAGAAUAAGCACCGGCUAACUUCGUG
rnacentral:rRNA from 1 species